UUUUGCACUCUUCCUGCAUCCCUGAUCUGGUUUCAAUACUUAUCAAAUCCAGUUCUUCCUCUGUAGAUCUUCGUUACAUUACAUUGUAACUCUUCCAUUUCCCUACUAACUCCAAACAAAACCAUAUAUAAGUCAAUUUUGCGUUUUGGAUUUUAUCUCCUGUUUUUCCCCCUCAGGUGUUUUUCUCUUCUUCGCAGUCACCUCUCUAGAAUUUUUAAAACAAAUCUAGGGUUUUCUCUUUCUUCUUCUUCUCGAUUAAAGUUGGGGUUUGAAGCUAGGGUUUGAUUUUCCGAUAUGAUUUUGUGCAAUCUUAUGUGUAUUUUUUCGAUUUCUGAAGUUAGGGUACAAAUGAUAAAGUUUGGGUUUUAAUUUGAGCAUGAUUAAGUAAUAGUUGGUUUUGAUUCUAAUGUUUUUAUUAUUUCUCAACUGCAAUUUUUUUAUACGGAUAUUCUUAAGUAUUGGAGAGUAUGAGGUGAUGAUUAGGUCAUAAAAUCGGCUGGGGAUGAAGCUAACGAGUCUGGGGUUUUGCUGAAAGAAAAUAAAAGGGGUUUUGGAAUAUGUAAAGGGGAAUGUCUACCUCAAAGCUUUAACUUCCAUCUUCUUCAAUUUUGUUCACUUGGGCUCCAGUUCAGUUAUUGGUUUGAUCUGUUCCAUGUGGGUCUCUUACUGCCAAUUGAUUCAGAAUAGAACUGAUCUUUCUAACUCUGAGAGGAACAGAACUCCAGGAAAAGCCCCAUUUGCCGAAAGAUCUGCACUCAGCGAAUGUACUGUUUUAGACAGAGGGCAGGGCUGCAGUAUGUGAAACCAUUCGCACCAGUAGUUGGUGAAAAAUCAUUAGUAAUGGUGUUAAUGGGAAACCAUUCGUGCAACCUCUGUGUGUAUAUCUAGUAAUUGGUGUUCCAUUCUUGCAACCUCAGUGUCAUGCUGCAACUAGGUUCCUCUUGGGGUUUCCGGUUUCCAUCACUCCUGAAGGUACAUCAAGGGGUGUGAACAUGGCUGUUAUGGAGCAGCCAGUGAAAUUAUACAGAGAGUUUCAUCUUGGAAGACGCCUUCCUGCUUACGAUGGAAGGAAGAGUCUUACUGCUGGACCGUUACCUUUUUCUAACAAGGAUUUCUCAAUUACCUUGAUUUACGAGGAUGAUGACACUGGAGCUGCUAGGAGAGAGAAGAUAUUCAAAGUUGCUAUCAAAUAUGCUGCUCGAGCGGAUCUCCAACACUUGGGAAUGUUUUUGCAGGGAAAACAUGCAGAUGCACCUCAGGAAGCUCUUCAAGUUCUCAACAUUGUUCUGCGCAAGCUUCUAACUUAUAGGUAUCCCCCAACUUGGGGAGAAGACAGUCACUUGGUGAAGGUUUGGAAAGUUGGAGAGGUUUUUACCAGAGUAUUCCCCCCACUCUUUCAUUGAAUAUCUAUAUGUCUUCCAUGGUUUUCAUUGAGCCAUUACCUGUCAUAGAAUAGAAUUUGUUACCCAGCUCCUGAAUAGGGAUGCACUUGCUCGACCCUUGUCUGAUGCUGAUCGAGUCAAGAUCAAGAAGGCCGUUAGUUAGAUAUGAACUUUUUACUCAAAUUAGACAAAGAUUCCAAUUCUUGUCCAUGCUGGUACUUGCAAGUUCUGAAUUGGGUUGGUCAUUUCAUCUUUUUGCUGCAGUUUGUGUUUAUUAGGUUACUCUGCACUGAUUGUAAGCAAGAAUUAUCCUUUUAGAACUUAUGGUGUGAAUACGGAGUUUGCCUAGAUUUUUCUUUUGUAUUUUUGAGCAUCUGUGCAAACUGAACUUAAAUGUGUAUUGAACUUGUAGAUUGAUUUUGUACAUUGAAUUUGAAAGUUUGGUUGGAUGGUGAAAUAUGGCGUCUAAGUAUAUGAAAUUGUAAAUUGAUUCCAGCAGAA